UGCUGGGAGCUGUAGUACAAUCCCUGCCUCCCAUAUCCCCAGAACAGAGCUACUGAACUACAUAUAAAGAAUAGAGAGGAUACACAGGGCAUGCUGGGAGCUGUAGUACAAUCCCUGCCUCCUAUAUCCCCUGAACAGAGCUACUGAACUACAUAUAAAGAAUAGAGAGGACACACAGGGCAUGCUGGGAGCUGUAGUACAGUAAUGGCAGCAGCAGACAAAAGUCCGAAUCUGGAAUCCCCCGAACAUUGCUACAUACACAGAGUAUCGUACGGACACACAGUAUGGUUACAGCUGUGAGGGAAUAGCGCAAUAAUGGGCAAAUAUGUACAUGUUAAAAAAAGGAAGAAUGAUUCAAACUCCCUCAUCUGGUGUCAGUCAUGUAUUCCCGCCUCCACAGUCAUUUCCGAGGCCGCUCUGCACUUAAUCCCGCCUAUAAAUGGAACAGCCAAUGCCUGCUUCCCAGAGAGACGGCAAACCAUUUGCAGCCAAUCGCCAUCGUCGUAUUGAGGGCGCCGAGUAAUUAUUGCAUCUUAAAGUUUGUGGGUGGGGUUAAUAGAUGAGUGACAGGAGGUUUUACAGAGGAACUGAUGAAGGGGAGCGUCACGUGGGGGUGGGUGGGCCUUGGAGGAGUCUAGUUUGGGAAGAGGCGCAGGGGGCGGGCAGAUAACGGAUAAGGCGUGGGCGGGAUAUAAAGCUGAAGAGCCUUCUUGGUUCCCGCUAUUUUGAGAGCUGGGUUUGCGGGGUAGGGAAGAAAACGCUCUGCUGCUCUUUUACUCGAUGUAACUAGUGAGGAUGAUGAGCUGGGCAGACGCUCAGGGGAUUGUGUGGGAACAAUAGGCGCCUAUAGGCUUUCUUCUACACUCCUCGUGAUAUAUAAGAGGGGCCUGCAGCUAUUCGGAUAGACGUAGUUCACUGUGCAAGGGCCUGUAAAAAAUGUAGGGGCAGGCCUCGUGGUACUUGGUGCAAUUAGGUGGCUGCUGAGGGAAUUGGGUGCUAUUAGGUGCCUGUAUAGUGGGUGCUCAGGUAUUCGGUUAGGUGCCUGUAUAGUGGCUGCUGAGGGAAUUGGGUGCUGGUAGGUGCCUGUAUAGUGGGUGCAGGAAGUAGCUGUAACUUUUUCAGCUUUAAUUAAAGCUGGAUAUAAUAAUAUAGAAACAAGUACUGAGCAAUUGCUGUGGAAUUUGGGUGCGGCACAGGAUUUCCCAUACUGACUACUUUUAGCAUAAUAAACUAUAUGAGGGACAAGUGCUGAGGUGUUUGGGCAGACAAAGGAACACAUCUGUCAGCUCAGCAGACAUUUACACUUAGGGGCUAUUUACUAAAUUCUGAAUGCUAAAAAUUCGAUAUUUAAUAUAUCCCGAGGAUGGAAAAACCCGGCAUCUCAGACCUGUCGAGGUUGUAUAUAAGUCAAUGGAAGGUUCCUAUCCUAUUUGGAAGCUUCUGUGGACUGCGCUGGAAUUGGCCCGAAAAAUUCAACUAUUUUGGGCUUUUUGGGCAAAAAUCUGAAAAAUUCUGGCAUUUUGGAAAAAGACCAAAAAAAGUGAGCAAUUUGGGGAAAAAAAAUCCAAAAUAAUUUUUCCCCAAUCCGAUUAACUUGUGCUUUUUUUAAUUAUAAAUACGGUCAAAUAGUAGAUUCUAGUUUGAGCAGACACAAAAAUAUAGGGACAGGCGCUGAGGCAUGUUUUU